UCUUCUACCUUGCAGCUGGGAGGGAGCAACAUUUGUGGAGAAUGAGACUUGGAGCAUUCCUAGGAAGAAUUCACCCCAACUUGGAUCCUUUGUGUCUGAGGAGGAUGGUUUCAGCAACAUGGCUACCAUGCUGGAAGCAUUUCUUUGGACUGCUCCUGUUAUGUACAGAGCUCAACGGAGAUAUUUCUCAGCCUCCGGAAGUUGUUGUUUCUGCAGGAAAGACAGCUCGGAUCACAUGUAAUCAUGGAAUCUCCACAUACAGUUCCCUCUUCUGGUAUGAGCAAAAGCAGGAUAUAGCUCCAAACUAUAUCAUCUCCGGUUACUCUGCACCUGAGAGGAAUGGUCGAUUUAACAUGAUGAUUGACAAAGGGAACACAUCAACAGAGCUCUCCAUCGGAGAAGUGGAGAUAGAAGACGCUGGGGUCUACUACUGUGCUGUGACACACACAGUAGUGGGAAAUGGGAGGGCACCUGAACAGAAACUUGCAGGGGAAAUAGCUUGAUGCCUGCUCUGUUGUCAUUUCUCGAGGUCUUAGACCUAAGGUGCCUCUACACUGUACAAUUAAUGCAGCU